rnacentral:tRNA from 16 species
GGGCUCAUAGCUCAGUUGGUCAGAGCGCCUGCCUUACAAGCAGGAUGUCGGGAGUUCGAAUCUCUCUGGGCCCAAAA